GGUUCGAUGGUGUAGUUGGUUAUCACGUCUGUCUCACAGGAAGCCGAAGGUGGCUGUGCACACAGGAGGUCUCCGGUUCGAGCCCGGGUCGAACCA
rnacentral:tRNA from 1 species